CUACGGGCGGCUGCAGUGGGGAAUAUUGGACAAUGGGGGAAACCCUGAUCCAGCAAUGCCGCGUGUGUGAAGAAGGCCUGCGGGUUGUAAAGCACUUUCGGUUGGGAGGACUGCUUCUAGCACUAAUAUUGUUGGAAGUUGACGUUACCUUCAGAAGAAGCACCGGCUAACUCCGUGCCAGCAGCCACGGUAAUACGGAGGGUGCAAGCGUUAAUCGGAAUUACUGGGCGUAAAGCGCGCGUAGGCGGCUAGAUCAGUCGGGUGUGAAAGCCCCGGGCUUAACCUGGGAACUGCAUCCGAUACUGGCUAGCUUGAGUACAGGAGAGGAGAGUGGAAUUCCACAUGUAGCGGUGAAAUGCGUAGAUAUGUGGAGGAACACCAAUGGCGAAGGCAGCUCUCUGGCCUGAUACUGACGCUGAGGUGCGAAAGCGUGGGGAGCAAACAGGAUUAGAUACCCGUGUAGUC
rnacentral:rRNA from 1 species